rnacentral:rRNA from 1 species
UGAGGUGCGAAAGCGUGGGUAGCAAACAGGAUUAGAUACCCUGGUAGUCCACGCCGUAAACGAUGUCGACCAGCCGUUGGGUGCCUAGCGCACUUUGUGGCGAAGUUAACGCGAUAAGUCGACCGCCUGGGGAGUACGGCCGCAAGGUUAAAACUCAAAUGAAUUGACGGGGGCCCGCACAAGCGGUGGAGCAUGUGGUUUAAUUCGAUGCAACGCGAAGAACCUUACCUACCCUUGACAUCUACAGAAGCCGGGAGAGAUCCUGGUGUGCCUUCGGGAACUGUAAGACAGGUGCUGCAUGGCUGUCGUCAGCUCGUGUUGUGAAAUGUUGGGUUAAGUCCCGUAACGAGCGCAACCCUUGUCCUUAUUUGCCAGCACGUAAUGGUGGGAACUCUAAGGAGACUGCCGGUGACAAACCGGAGGAAGGUGGGGACGACGUCAAGUCAUCAUGGCCCUUACGGGUAGGGCUACACACGUGCUACAAUGGCCGGUACAAAGGGUUGCCAACUCGCGAGAGUGCGCCAAUCCCGAAAAGCCGGUCUCAGUCCGGAUCGGAGUCUGCAACUCGACUCCGUGAAGUCGGAAUCGCUAGUAAUCGUGAAUCAGAAUGUCACGGUGAAUACGUUCCCGGGCCUUGUACACACCGCCCGUCACACCAUGGGAGUGGACUGCACCAGAAGUGGUUA